GCCAAAUGGAAAGUGUCUGAGGGGAAAAACGGCAAGAUGGCAUUUUAGGCGAUCCAGCUGAGCUGUAGCUUUUUGGAUGUUGAAGAGUGAACAACUCGGCUAAGCGCUGACUGGAACUGGUCACGGAAAGGAAAGGGAUGGAGCCUUUUCAGGUCAAAGACACUGAAACACCCUGGACAGCCCUCAGUAAGCAGGGUGAAGACGGCUUUCUGCUGAAAUGCGCUGUCAAUGCAGCCCUGUACCGCCUGCUGCAGAACCACAGAGGGCCUGGCAGGACCCAGGUGAUCGGGCAGCUGCAGCACCUUCUGCCUGUCCAGUGAUGGAUGUUAUUGCCAAUUGGAUGGGCAGCCCGUGUAGACCACUGGGUCCUGACCUCAAAGAUUGAGUGUGUCUGUGCCGUAUGGAAUUAUUACCGGCUACAUUCACACAGAGUUUGGACUGACAGAUCAAUGCAUUGAAGUCUCAUCGCAACUGGCACAACGAUAUUCGAAUGCUUAAUAUUUAGAUGCAUGGAUAAGUAAACAUAUCAGGGCUGAUAAAUUCUUGAUAAAACACGA